rnacentral:rRNA from 1 species
UACGUAGGGUCCGAGCGUUGUCCGGAAUUAUUGGGCGUAAAGAGCUCGUAGGCGGUUUGUCGCGUCUGCUGUGAAAUCCCGAGGCUCAACCUCGGGCCUGCAGUGGGUACGGGCAGACUGGAGUGCGGUAGGGGAGAAUGGAAUUCCUGGUGUAGCGGUGGAAUGCGCAGAUAUCAGGAGGAACACCGGUGGCGAAGGCGGGUCUCUGGGCAGUAACUGACGCUGAGGAGCGAAAGCGUGGGGAGCGAACAGG